CAGCCCUGGGGGAAGAUCCAGUGGUCGUGGGGUCUGCUGUAAUAUGUGUCUAAAUGCAUAGACGAAGGCCUCACGAUGCCGGCCAGCGUUGCUGACAAGAAGCAGUAAUGGUGCUGGCCUCCGGAGCAGGCGACUGGAAGCCUCAAGGCAGGAGAGUAAAGAGAUUUGUUAUACCCCUGUGGGCCUUUUGACUUUUUAGCCACAUACAUGUAUUAUAUUUUCAAGUA